UUACUUCGACAAUAUCGAUACACUUGCCAAGAAGUCAUCAAGUUUUUGGUGUCGUUGUUGAGGACUGUUGAUUUUUCAACAAGGUGACAUUUGUGCAAUUGUUUUUAUUUUUAUUUUUAGUCUUUCUAAUUUUUAUUUUUAAUUUCUUGUUUAUCAUAGUGCUACUGAGGUAUUUUCUGUUUGUGUAUGGCAGUUCAGGAUCACCAUUAAUUCCAUUUGAUCCAGAAAUUGAAAGAACCACAAGUGCUCUUUGAAAAGCAGUUAGGGAAGCAGCUCUGGACGGAG
rnacentral:lncRNA from 1 species